rnacentral:rRNA from 1 species
AGUCGAACGCUUCUUUCCUCCCGAGUGCUUGCACUCAAUUGGAAAGAGGAGUGGCGGACGGGUGAGUAACACGUGGGUAACCUACCCAUCAGAGGGGGAUAACACUUGGAAACAGGUGCUAAUACCGCAUAACAGUUUAUGCCGCAUGGCAUAAGAGUGAAAGGCGCUUUCGGGUGUCGCUGAUGGAUGGACCCGCGGUGCAUUAGCUAGUUGGUGAGGUAACGGCUCACCAAGGCCACGAUGCAUAGCCGACCUGAGAGGGUGAUCGGCCACACUGGGACUGAGACACGGCCCAGACUCCUACGGGAGGCAGCAGUAGGGAAUCUUCGGCAAUGGACGGAAGUCUGACCGAGCAACGCCGCGUGAGUGAAGAAGGUUUUCGGAUCGUAAAACUCUGUUGUUAGAGAAGAACAAGGACGUUAGUAACUGAACGUCCCCUGACGGUAUCUAACCAGAAAGCCACGGCUAACUACGUGCCAGCAGCCGCGGUAAUACGUAGGUGGCAAGCGUUGUCCGGAUUUAUUGGGCGUAAAGCGAGCGCAGGCGGUUUCUUAAGUCUGAUGUGAAAGCCCCCGGCUCAACCGGGGAGGGUCAUUGGAAACUGGGAGACUUGAGUGCAGAAG